AACGGCUUCUCUGACUCCGCAGUUAAGCGUGCUUGGGCGAGAGUAGUACUAGGAUGGGUGACCUCCUGGGAAGUCCUCGUGUUGCAUUCCC
rnacentral:rRNA from 1 species